rnacentral:rRNA from 1 species
UACGAAGGGGGCUAGCGUUGCUCGGAAUCACUGGGCGUAAAGCGCACGUAGGCGGAUUGUUAAGUCAGGGGUGAAAUCCUGGAGCUCAACUCCAGAACUGCCUUUGAUACUGGCGAUCUUGAGUCCGGGAGAGGUGAGUGGAACUGCGAGUGUAGAGGUGAAAUUCGUAGAUAUUCGCAAGAACACCAGUGGCGAAGGCGGCGACCUGGUCCGAUACUGACGCUGAGGCGCGAAAGCGUGGGGAGCAAACAGG